rnacentral:rRNA from 1 species
UACGUAGGCAGCGAGCGUUGUUCGGAAUUACUGGGCGUAAAGAGUGUGUAGGCGGUGCUCUAAGUUCGGUGUGAAAUCUCCUGCUUAACUGGGAGGGUGCGCCGGAAACUGGGGUGCUCGAGCGUGGGAGAGGAAGCGGAAUCCGUGGUGUGAGCGGUGAAAUGCGUAGGAAUAUCGAGGAGGAACACCUGUGGUGUGAAGACCAGCUUCUGGACCAUUGCUGACGC